rnacentral:rRNA from 1 species
GGCUUCCAUCUGGAAGGAAUCUGGAGGACAGGUGCUGCAUGGCUGUCGUCAGCUCGUGUCGUGAGAUGUUGGGUUAAGUCCCGCAACGAGCGCAACCCUUGCCUUUAGUUGCCAGCAGUUCGGCUGGGCACUCUAAAGGGACUGCCGGUGUUAAACCGGAGGAAGGUGGGGAUGACGUCAAGUCCUCAUGGCCUUUAUGACCAGGGCUACACACGUACUACAAUGGCCGAUACAAAGGGCAGCGCACUGCGAGGUGAAGCCAAUCCCGUAAAAUCGGUCUCAGUCCGGAUUGGAGUCUGCAACUCGACUCCAUGAAGUUGGAAUCGCUAGUAAUCGUGGAUCAGCAUGCCACGGUGAAUACGUUCCCGGGCCUU